AAUUUAUUAAACUUUUUUUUUAUUUAGACAUUUAUUUAUGAAUCUUUGAUCCUUUGUAAGAUUAUAAGAUAAAAUUACCUUAGGGAUAACAGCGUAAUUUUUUUUAGAGUUCUUAUCGAAAAGAAAGAUUGCGACCUCGAUGUUGGAUUAAAAUUAAAUUUUUGGUGUAGAAGCUAAAAGAUUAGGUCUGUUCGACCUUUAAAAUUU
rnacentral:rRNA from 1 species